CAGAAAGUUUACGAGACUACUUCAGCAGGUUCGGUGAUAUAUCAGAGGCUAUGGUUAUGAAAGAUCCAACGACGCGGAGAUCGAGAGGUUUCGGCUUCAUAACAUUCAGUGAUCCAGCCAGCGUUGACAAGGUUCUAACACAAGGUACACACGAACUAGACGGUAAAAAGAUCGACCCAAAGGUAGCAUUUCCCCGCAGAGCGCAUCCAAAG